rnacentral:rRNA from 1 species
UACGUAGGGUGCGAGCGUUAAUCGGAAUUACUGGGCGUAAAGCGUGCGCAGGCGGUUAUGUAAGACAGUUGUGAAAUCCCCGGGCUCAACCUGGGAAUUGCAUCUGUGACUGCAUAGCUAGAGUACGGUAGAGGGGGAUGGAAUUCCGCGUGUAGCAGUGAAAUGCGUAGAUAUGCGGAGGAACACCGAUGGCGAAGGCAGCCCCCUGGGCCAAUGACUGACGCUCGAUGCACGAAAGCGUGGGGAGCAAACAGG